GUAGAGAUAGCACUCCCAGGACUCAAAAGGAUCCUGAUUGACAAACUGAAAUGUUUAACUUUUAUUUUUUAAAUUUUAAAAGAUCAAUUUUAUUUUUAAUACCUUUGGAGUCCUGGGAGUGCUAUAUCUAC